rnacentral:rRNA from 1 species
AGUGAACGCUGGCGGUAGGCCUAACACAUGCAAGUCGAACGGCAGCACAAGAGAGCUUGCUCUCUGGGUGGCGAGUGGCGGACGGGUGAGGAAUACAUCGGAAUCUACUCUGUCGUGGGGGAUAACGUAGGGAAACUUACGCUAAUACCGCAUACGACCUACGGGUGAAAGCAGGGGACCUUCGGGCCUUGCGCGAUUGAAUGAGCCGAUGUCGGAUUAGCUAGUUGGCGGGGUAAAGGCCCACCAAGGCGACGAUCCGUAGCUGGUCUGAGUGGAUGAUCAGCCACGCUGGAACUGAGACACGGUCCAGACUCCUACGGGAGGCAGCAGUGGGGAAUAUUGGACAAUGGGCGCAAGCCUGAUCCAGCCAUACCGCGUGGGUGAAGAAGGCCUUCGGGUUGUAAAGCCCUUUUGUUGGGAAAGAAAUCCAGCUGGCUAAUACCCGGUUGGGAUGACGGUACCCAAAGAAUAAGCACCGGCUAACUUCGUGCCAGCAGCCGCGGUAA